UUUAUUCAUAGUUUUCUGCAACAGGCAAUCUCUCCUGCAAAACAAUAUUGAAAAAUUUAAAGGCAAACUGACAGUGCAAAUCCUGGACACGGAGAUAAAAGUGGAACUACAUGAAUAUUUUAGAGGCAUCUAUAACUUGUACAUUCAGAAUACUUCUCCUACUGCUCUAUGAGGAACAUGCAGCAAGAGAUGACAGGCACAAUGCCAAGACAACAACUGCUGUCAGAGGUGUCUAUUUAUAACCUGCAGAGUGACAAAACUACUAGUCAAGAGAAUUUGCAGGUGAGAAGCCAUGUGCAGUUGGCAGUUGUGAAGAUUUUAAUUUCUUUUUUUUUUUUUAUAAUUAUGACUGUGGAAGUACUUAGAAGACUGUGUCAAAACUAAAAAGUAAAAGAAAAUUGAAAUUAUCAAGAAUAU
rnacentral:lncRNA from 1 species